rnacentral:rRNA from 1 species
UCCAAGCGUUAUCCGGAAUCACUGGGCGUAAAGAGUGCGUAGGCGGGAGUCUAAGUGCAAUGCGAAAUCCUAUGGCUCAACCAUAUGGACUGUAGUGCAUACUGGACACCUAGAGGACGGCAGAGGCAAGUGGAAUUACUGGUGUAGCAGUGAAAUGCGUAGAUAUCAGUAGGAACACCAAUGGCGAAGGCAGCUUGCUGGGCCGACCCUGACGCUAAGGCACGAAAGCGUGGGGAGCGAACAGG